rnacentral:tRNA from 1 species
GGUUGUAGCUCAGUGAUAGAGCGCUUGCCUCGGAUGCAUGAGGCCCUGGGUUUGAUCCUCAGCACCA